UACGUAGGGACCAAGCGUUGUUCGGAUUUACUGGGCGUAAAGGGCGCGUAGGCGGCGUUUUAAGUCGGGUGUGAAAGCCUGUGGCUCAACCACAGAAUGGCCUUCGAUACUGGGACGCUUGAGUAUGGUAGAGGUUGGUGGAACUGCGAGUGUAGAGGUGAAAUUCGUAGAUAUUCGCAAGAACACCGGUGGCGAAGGCGGCCAACUGGACCAUUACUGACGCUGAGGCGCGAAAGCGUGGGGAGCAAACAGG
rnacentral:rRNA from 1 species